rnacentral:rRNA from 1 species
AAACUGUGGCUAAUACCGCAUGAUGACUGAGGUCUAAAGGCGCAAGUCGCCUGAGGAGGAGCCUGCGUCCGAUUAGCUAGUUGGUGGGGUAAAGGCCUACCCAAGGCUCCGAUCGGUAGCUGGUCUGAGAGGAUGAUCAGCCACACUGGGACUGAGACACGGCCCAGACUCCUACGGGAGGCAGCAGUGGGGAAUAUUGGACAAUGGGCGCAAGCCUGAUCCAGCAAUGCCGCGUGGGUGAAGAAGGUCUUCGGAUUGUAAAGCCCUUUCGACGGGGACGAUGAUGACGGUACCCGUAGAAGAAGCCCCGGCUAACUUCGUG